AAUAGAUGACGUUGUUGACUUUUUCUCACAUGUUUGACCAUUCGUCUUAUUUAAAAAAUUUACGUAAUUAUAAUUUAUUUUAUUAUAAGUUGUUUAUCACUCAUAGUACUUUAAGUGUGAUUUAUAUCUUAUAUAUUUGCAUAAAAUUUUUAAAUAAAACGAAUGGUCAAACAUGUGAGAAAAAGUCAACGGCGUCAUCUAUU
rnacentral:pre_miRNA from 1 species